rnacentral:ncRNA from 1 species
UCCGGUGCAGAGGCGGGAAUGCUUAUAGAAGACGAGAAGACCCUGUGGAGCUUAAGUCACAUAACUCAACAAAUACCAAUACAUAACCUAGUGGAACAACCCGUAUAAGCCCCUGAGUUGUAGUCUUUGGUUGGGGUGACCUCGGAGCAUAAAAUAACCUCCAAAUGAGUAUAACCCAGAUUAACAAAUCUAAGUGUAACAAUACCAGUAAUCGACCCAUCUUUUGAUCAACAGAACAAGUUACCCCAGGGAUAACAGUGCAAUCCUAUUUGAGAGCCCAUAUCGAAAAUUAGGGUUUACGACCUCGAUGUUGGAUCAGGACACCCAAAUGGUGCAACUGCUAUUAAAGGUUCGUUUGUUCAAAGAUUAAAGUCCUACGUGAUCUGAGUUCAGACCGGAGAAAUCCAGGUCGGUUUCUAUCUGUAAAUUC